UCUCCAAGUCUGAUCUUCCACCUUUCCAGAGGACAGCUGCCUUGAGAGCAGCAUAACUCGGAGCUGCAUGCUCAUAACAUGAAGUAGAAGAGAUGGGCCUAUCUCUGUCCUUCAGUUCUCCAUAGGCAAAAUUAUUACAGGUGUCUGCAUCAUCUGGAAGGGACAUCCACUGAAAUGUUUCCUAGAAAAAGGUUAGGGCAGAACAAGCACAUAAAGAGGAGGCCAGGUGAAGACAGGAAGAUGGCUAGAAGAUGGGUGUCAAGCCUACACAGGGCACACAGAAAAACACUUACUGCCUUGAGUGUACACCACUCUCGAACACAGACUGGAAACCAAGCUGGAGAGUCCUACGGUUGUUGUGCUGCCAACAAAGCCUCCUGAAAUGUGCUAAUUACAUGUGUCUGCUUAUGUAUAGAUUGGUAACAGGGAUGCCCCGAAUACAUAUACAUGUAAAAUACAAGCCUCAUGGUCACAGGGAAAUGGUUAAGGUCCUCCACAGUGAACCUGAAGACAAGGAUAUCAGAAGACAAAUAGACCUUCAGGGAAAAAAGACUGCACCACGCUGAGGUUAUGGACAGCUUUGGAAAGUCCAGCACUGAAGUUCUGCUGUGGUUGCCCCCCUCUCAAUCAGUAUGGGAUUUCCCCCACCUCGGCCCGCAAUUUCUAGCUCUCCUAAGUAUGGAAACUGGGAAACAAUGGAAAAAAUGAGGCAGCCUGCCCUUUCAGAAGACAUUUUGUAAUGUCACUGUGCUUCCCUGCUCACAGCCCGUAGGUGAUGUUGAUCGUGGUUACAGGAAAUGCCAUGAGCAAUUUGCAAAGCGAAAGCAGCUUACUCUCGGGUUAGGGCUUGCCUGGCUGGGAAGUGCCGCGCCGCGCCGCAUGCUUGGAGAGGAGCAGCCUGGGGAGAAGUUUGUGCAGUUCUUCCAAUGGUGGUGCAGAAAUGCAAGGGCAGCUUGAGGCCAGCGUGACAUGUCAGAAAGCCCUAGCUUAAAGUUGCCACCUUACUAGAGGAAGCCAUUUCUAGACCUUUUUUCACCUUAUCCUGUUGUAUAUUUACUCCAGGAUAUGGCACAGAUUAAGCCCAAGAGCACACAUACCAAGCGCUUCUGUCAGUCCCAACAAAUUCCCUCCCUCAGUGUAUCACAUCACAUUUCUGCUAGUCUGGAAUUGGAGAUGGGUUUGGCAUUUCUGUGGGCUUACACCAGGGCUGCGAAGACUCCUCAGCCACUAUCUGGAAAGUAAAAGAGACAUGGUGUUGAAAAAACUCAUUGCUUUUCAGUCCCUCUCAGGGGCCUACAGCUCUUGGGGACAGCAGGUGGCUGCUGGGCUCUCCAGGUAGCCCUGCUCAUGCCUCAGUGCUCCCACAAACAGUGUGAUUCCCGAGCAUGUUGAGAGCUCUCCCUGCUCUGUUCCUGCCUUCCCAUGUUUCCUUGAAAUCCUCUACUUGCCAUUCAGAGUGAAAAUCUGGGUUAUACAGUGCAAUUUCUUCCCAGUAAGUUCUAGUACAAAAACUGGGGGGAAUGGGGUAGUGGGUGGGAAGGAGGAGAGCAAUGGGAAUGUACCACAGCACCACAUCUAUUCGGCUCCUUGUUUCAUGGUGGGGUACCAGCCUCACCAAGAGCUCCUAGCCAAGAUCUACAUCUUCUGUGGGCAGGAUGGAUGACGCUAAACCCAGCCGUGCCCUCAACACCACCUGGAGAGAUGUCAGCCUGCACUGGCUUUCCACUGCAUGCACCAGCAAGGAGGGCAAGGCACUAGCUGCACAUGAUCCCCAGCCUGCAUCACUUUUCAACCAACAAACCGCAUUUUCAGCCUGCAGAAAAUGAAAAUAAAUAAAUAAAUCAUAGCCCUAAGAGG